CUGCAGUAAUGCUUCUGCACUUGAACAUGCACUAUCCACCACAUCGUCUGUCACGUCGCUGGCUAAACAGACGAUAAGCAAAAUAAAUUAAGCACUUGUUAUUGAGGGUUGUUGGCAAUCACUGGCUGCCAAACCGGCUUCUUAUGUUUCCGGUAGGAUGCCGGUAAAUAUGGGGCAAGGCUCAAGGGAACGCAGUGUUAUCGUGUGUGGAAUGUGUUUCCGUGUUGGAGGCACGGCAUAUCAGACGCAGGCUAGCAAUUUUCCAUGUCUCGCUUCUGGAGUCUCCCUUCACAUUUUCUGCAUGCCGGACCGAGGACAUUUAUUAGUGGCCCCUCCCUGUAAGAGUUGUAAUAAACAGCAGUACUAUAAACCAAAGAAGCGUGUUCUAGUUUAAUCAUGGAUUUAAAGCGCCAAGCCCAGUCCGAGCGCUGCUGUCGCUGAGCCGGCUGAGGGGCCCCAGGACCCCCCCAGCAAGAAGAGGAGAGGGGCCCGUCGACAAGGGGAGCAGGCCCCGGUGGAGGUCCAGCCCAGGUCUACCGGGACGAGGCAGACCAGAAGGGCCUUCGCUGGGAAGGCCCCGAGUGCUGAUGUCCCCCAGUCGCAGGGCUCCACUGACACACCACCACCACCAGGGUCCACUGGGCUUCUGGAGGCUGAGCAGGGCGGGCGCACCCCAGACGAGGCCGGUGACGCCAGCCGGCCAAUAGAAACCCAACCUCCUAAAGCACCUGCUCUGAAGAGGAAGCCCAAGGGGUUCCUCUCGUUCCUCGCAGGCCCGGUGACCCCGGGCCCCUCUGGAACCCUCGGGGCAAAGGUCAGAGCGCCGCCCCUCGCCCCGCAGGUCAAAGCGUCUCGUGGCGCGGCGAGAAAACCGGGCCCCGCCUCGGAAGGCGGUGCCAAGAAAACGCCACUCAAAGUCGUUUCCGUGGCACCGCAGCGCAGGCCGGAGCGCAGGCCGGCGCCGGUGCCGGAGUCCUGCGUCAGUACGGGCCCCGCAGAACCACGGCCCGCCACCUCUGGAAGAACAGCUGAGACGGCCCCGCCCCACCAGGAGGACCAGCUGAGCGUCAGCAGGGGGGACGAGGAGCCCACCAACGUCUCUCAGUACUUCUUGAGCGACAUUUUUACAGAAGUGGACGAAUGAGUGGAUAAUCUUUUUUUUAAUUAUUAGUAUUAAAUUUUUUCAUUUAGUUUGUUCUAUAUAGAGAUAUUAAAGAUUAUUCAACUGUUUAAAGUUUAUGUUACUAUUUAUUUGCUGCUGUUUAGUAUCUAGGUUUCAAACACCCUCAUUCUGAACUGUUGUUUGAAUUGACAAUAGAUAGACCAUAACUCCUUUUGUGUAUAUUUUGGUUACUGUUAGUCCUCUGAUGUAUUUUAGUUGGUAGCUCCUCAGAUUAUGACCAUCACUCAUAUUAUGUUGCUUGAGCAAAUCACAGAACUUACGAUUACUGCAUCUCUGGCCUGUUGAAAAAGGUGCCAAUUGUAACCUCAUGAAACCAUAGUGUUUGUAAAGCUGCCAACAUUCUAUUCUUUGUAAACCCACCAGUGUCAUAGUGUCAGUGCUCAUUUCUUGGUUUUGUUUCUCAGGUUAGUGUUAUGUUUACUGUCUCAUACCCAGCAAGUUACCGUUUUCGGAAAUGUUCUGUACUUACUGUUUUUUGCUUGCGUUCUGCUGUUACUAGCUCAAUGUACCAUUGUUUUAAGUUGUCAGUGAUAAAAGGCGAAAACAUUUUGGACACAGUUUAGAACCGCUUCAACAAUCCAUUGUCAUAAAUUACUUCAUUUAUUCAUCCUUUUCUCUCCUGUAAGAUAUGUUAAUAAAUCAAGCCUUGGAUACAAGUGGAAUUUUUGAAGUUUAUUUCACGAGCA
ensembl:lncRNA